rnacentral:rRNA from 1 species
UUGAUCCUGGCUCAGAUUGAACGCUGGCGGCAUGCCUUACACAUGCAAGUCGAACGGCAGCGCGGGAGCAAUCCUGGCGGCGAGUGGCGAACGGGUGAGUAAUACAUCGGAACGUGCCCAAUCGUGGGGGAUAACGCAGCGAAAGCUGUGCUAAUACCGCAUACGAUCUACGGAUGAAAGCAGGGGAUCGCAAGACCUUGCGCGAAUGGAGCGGCCGAUGGCAGAUUAGGUAGUUGGUGAGGUAAAGGCUCACCAAGCCUUCGAUCUGUAGCUGGUCUGAGAGGACGACCAGCCACACUGGGACUGAGACACGGCCCAGACUCCUACGGGAGGCAGCAGUGGGGAAUUUUGGACAAUGGGCGAAAGCCUGAUCCAGCCAUGCCGCGUGCAGGAUGAAGGCCUUCGGGUUGUAAACUGCUUUUGUACGGAACGAAACGGCCUUUUCUAAUAAAGAGGGCUAAUGACGGUAC